UUUGCACUGCUGACUCUCAGUUUUGCACUGGUGACUCAGUGUUGCGCUGCUGACUCUCAGUUUUGCACUGCUGCCAAUUGUAUUUUGUCCUUUUGGCGUUCCAUAGAAAAAAGUGGGGAAAAAAGAUAUGCCACAAGAGCUAAUGGCACAUGCAUUUGAUGCUCUUCAGUGGGAGCAGCAGCAAAAUCAACGGCCGCAAUACAUUUUGCAACUGAGCAAGUGAUUGCGAAAGGCAAUGCACUGACACAAUUUAGUGCCAGACAAAUAUCAGAGAUGGCAACCAGAGACAAUAUGGGGCUAAAUCGAGGUCUCUUGAUUUUGACGUACGAAGAAAUGUAUGACAGACAUGCUAAUAGCAGAUGUGAUAAUCAUGUUAUGUAGUAAUGCCACUGACCUAAAAGAUAACGUGACGAUGGUUGAGGAAAAUGGACGCGAGGCCAAUAUGCGAUACUGGUUAUCGGAAGAACAAAAUGCAAUUCAGCCUAUUGUUAUUAGUAGGUCUACGAGUGAUCAUGACGUAGCAAGAUCUAUUGUUAUUAAAGGCACAGAGGACGCAAUGCUAGAAUCGUUAGUUUCCGAUUACAGCAAGGAAGGAAACCUUGUUAAUAAAAAUAAUUAAAAAAAUAGUGUAUUUUUAUAUAGCGCACAUAUCCAUCUAAUGUAAGAUGCUCAGGGCGCUUGAUGUGUGGACUAUGAACUCGAUCAAUGAC